CAAGACAUCAUCAAAGGGAAUUUACCUUGGUCGGAUCGAUGAUACCAGCCAACAUCAGAUCUUCGUAUUGAUUCUUUGCAGCGUUGUAACCGUACAUCAUGUUUUCGUUCAAUAAUACCUGUAGAUUUCAGAGUUAAGUUCCAUUACAAGUUAGGUCUGGUUCUACCUAGAGAGAUGACGUUAUCAAAUACCUUUUCUAUGACAAUAUUGCCAUUUGUGCCUGCGUUUUUGGCUAUAAGUCUUAUAGGGUAGCUCAAUGCUUUCUUGAAUAUUUCAGCUCCAAUCUUGCAUAUUCAAGAAAAAAGAUUAAGCAUGCUUUAAGAAGUCUAAAUACUAUGUUCCACUUUUAAAACUGAGUACCUUCUGUUCUGUGUUGUCUAGGGUGUCUUUAAUGCUGUCUACUUUAGCAGCCAGUCUCAGGAGAGCACAGCCACCACCAACUACAAUCCCUUCUUCAAUUGCUGACUAAAAUUCUGAGAGAGAUCAGAUUUCUUUGCACUGACAAUUUCUGGAAUCAUA
rnacentral:lncRNA from 1 species